rnacentral:rRNA from 1 species
CCAAGGGCUCGACCUACUGCUUGGCAGCCACCACCGAAUGAUCAUGUUAAGAUUAAUGUCGAUGCGGUUGUGCCGCGUGCUGGUGGAAGGGGGGUUGUGGGAGCCGUUUGCCGCGAUGCAUAGGGUGUGUAUUUUGGGGCCUCGGCAGUUGUCUUCAACAACAUAGAGGACCCGGAGGUGCUUGAAGUUCUAGCUACCAGGGAAGCGCUGGCGCUUGCCGAGGACUUGUACGAGCAGAACGUUUUCAUCGCCUCGGACUGCAUGACAGCGGUGGAAGCGAUCAAAGGAGGAACUGCAGCAGCAUAUGGAGCAGUGGUACAUGAAAUAAUGGAUAGAGCUCGUUUUUUCUCAUCUUGUUCUUUUAGUCAUGAAUUUAGAUCCUCGAACUUUGAGGCUCACAACCUCGUGAAGCAUGCAUUAACGUUGGGGACCGGCCGCCAUGUCUGGUUAGGCCACCCCGGCGAUCUUUUGUUCGUCCCUGUAAACAUUGUUUAG